GCGCCCUGUUUUUUCUAGUGUUUUGUUUUUGGCAAUUGGAGUUGGAGAGUCCUUUAUACAGAGGCUUGCCUGCACUUGGUUUUUAUUACUGUCCACCCACCUUUCCAUUUCUUUUCUUUAUGGCCUUUCUACCAACCUGGGGCAGGAGGUAUAGUCCCCUUCAUCCUCCUUCCAACAUACCCUUGCAUCAUCUUAGCACAACUCUUCUGAGUCCAUCAAACGAGGGCACUGGCUGAAUAUGAACACCCACGUAAAGCAACAGUCCUGUUCCUGAUCUGAGAC